GAGGAAGACUGCCCUUGAUAGGGACUAUACCAAGUUCUUCUUUGCAGCAAAACCUCAGGGUUUUGAGUCUCGUAUUCACAUCUUUUUACUAAGAAGGGCUCCUCCAGACUCCUGGUGUAUAUUUGUUGGAGGCCUUAAAUUUAUUCCUAAUUAAAUGGGGAGACAAGUCUUUCCAGAGGAACUUCUACUUUACUUUUUACAAUUCCUCCUCUUAUUUCAUAAUUCUUCUUCAAACUUGUUUAAUAUGUUUUGACUUAAUUGCUUUGUUUGUCCUUUUAAGAGAAGUAAUUUUUCUGAAUAAGGUGGAGGAGAGUUAGGAGUUAACUCUGUAAGCAUGGCAGAGACAGGUUUUUGUGUAAAACUUCGACGGUAGGGAAUAAUAUAACAGCCUACAAGAAUAAGUACACCAAUAACAACAGCAAAUGAGGAGAAGAACAAAAAUUGUAAACUGCAGUUGGAGGACCAAGGCUGAACAGAAGGAAUUUGUCCUUGAAGAAUGGGAAAUUUCAUGGGCUACUCUAUCUGGGGAGCUUAUGAAAACUGUGGAUUUCAGCAGAGAUUUCCAUUCGCCUUUUUUUUUUUCUUUAGGAGGUAGUGACUGACAAGAUAAUAAAGCCCAAAGCAUUAUGCUGACUAGGACCAUUGAAGUUGGCAAAAAAAGGCCACAACAACAGCAUGGAACCUAGGGGCUGGAUGAGACCAAUGCACGCGAGGGUUGACUUGUCCAGCUGUUCGUGGCAGUACAUUGCGGAGCAUAGAACGAAACCGGGUGUGGAACACUGAGUCCCAAGGAUAGCCAUCUUCAGAGAUACGGCUCAUGACCCAGAUUUUCUAUGAUGCCACAAUGCGCUACCAACCAAGGUACAUGGUAAGCAGAGAGCAUCACACCUGAGCAGCAUUCUUACUCAGCUCAACAGCAAUAUCUGAGCCUGAGUUUCCCAUUCCAAUCACCAGGAUGCGUUUUCCCUCAAAUCCAUCUGGAUGCUUGUAUUGGCGGCUAUGGAAAUAUUGGCCUUUGAACCUCUCCAUACCUUCAGGGGGAAGAAGAGAGAAGUCUGUGAGCUCCAGAGCAACUAUGUCAAGCUAAUUUCAAUAAAACUGCAUUGCCAGCUUUUCCUUUCUGGAGUUAAUA
rnacentral:lncRNA from 1 species